GGUUAAGCGACUAAGCGUACACGGUGGAUGCCCUGGCAGUCAGAGGCGAUGAAGGACGUGCUAAUCUGCGAAAAGCGUCGGUAAGGUGAUAUGAACCGUUAUAACCGGCGAUGUCCGAAUGGGGAAACCCAGUGCAAUUCGUUGCACUAUCGUUAACUGAAUACAUAGGUUAACGAGGCGAACCGGGGGAACUGAAACAUCUAAGUACCCCGAGGAAAAGAAAUCAACCGAGAUUCCCCCAGUAGCGGCGAGCGAACGGGGAGCAGCCCAGAGUCUGAAUCAGCUUGUGUGUUAGUGGAACGGUCUGGAAAGUCCGACGGUACAGGGUGAUAGUCCCGUACACCAAAAUGCACAGGCUGUGAACUCGAAGAGUAGGGCGGGACACGUGGUAUCCUGUCUGAAUAUGGGGGGACCAUCCUCCAAGGCUAAAUACUCCUGACUGACCGAUAGUGAACCAGUACCGUGAGGGAAAGGCGAAAAGAACCCCGGCGAGGGGAGUGAAAAAGAACCUGAAACCGUGUACGUACAAGCAGUGGGAGCACCUUCGGGUGUGACUGCGUACCUUUUGUAUAAUGGGUCAGCGACUUAUAUUCUGUAGCAAGGUUAACCGUAUAGGGGAGCCGCAGGGAAACCGAGUCUUAACUGGGCGUUAAGUUGCAGGGUAUAGACCCGAAACCCGGUGAUCUAGCCAUGGGCAGGUUGAAGGUUGGGUAACACUAACUGGAGGACCGAACCGACUAAUGUUGAAAAAUUAGCGGAUGACUUGUGGCUGGGGGUGAAAGGCCAAUCAAACCGGGAGAUAGCUGGUUCUCCCCGAAAGCUAUUUAGGUAGCGCCUCGUGAAUUCAUCUUCGGGGGUAGAGCACUGUUUCGGCUAGGGGGUCAUCCCGACUUACCAACCCGAUGCAAACUACGAAUACCGAAGAAUGUUAUCACGGGAGACACACGGCGGGUGCUAACGUCCGUCGUGAAGAGGGAAACAACCCAGACCGCCAGCUAAGGUCCCAAAGUCAUGGUUAAGUGGGAAACGAUGUGGGAAGGCACAGACAGCCAGGAUGUUGGCUUAGAAGCAGCCAUCAUUUAAAGAAAGCGUAAUAGCUCACUGGUCGAGUCGGCCUGCGCGGAAGAUGUAACGGGGCUAAACCAUGCACCGAAGCUGCGGCAGCGACACUAUGUGUUGUUGGGUAGGGGAGCGUUCUGUAAGCCUGCGAAGGUGACCUGUGAGGGUUGCUGGAGGUAUCAGAAGUGCGAAUGCUGACAUAAGUAACGAUAAAGCGGGUGAAAAGCCCGCUCGCCGGAAGACCAAGGGUUCCUGUCCAACGUUAAUCGGGGCAGGGUGAGUCGACCCCUAAGGCGAGGCCGAAAGGCGUAGUCGAUGGGAAACAGGUUAAUAUUCCUGUACUUGGUGUUACUGCGAAGGGGGGACGGAGAAGGCUAUGUUAGCCGGGCGACGGUUGUCCCGGUUUAAGCAUGUAGGCUGGUUGUCCAGGCAAAUCCGGAUAAUCAAGGCUGAGGUGUGAUGACGAGGCACUACGGUGCUGAAGUAACAAAUGCCCUGCUUCCAGGAAAAGCCUCUAAGCAUCAGGUAACAUUAAAUCGUACCCCAAACCGACACAGGUGGUCAGGUAGAGAAUACCAAGGCGCUUGAGAGAACUCGGGUGAAGGAACUAGGCAAAAUGGUGCCGUAACUUCGGGAGAAGGCACGCUGGUGUGUAGGUGAAGCCCCUGCGGGUGGAGCUGAGACCAGUCGAAGAUACCAGCUGGCUGCAACUGUUUAUUAAAAACACAGCACUGUGCAAACACGAAAGUGGACGUAUACGGUGUGACGCCUGCCCGGUGCCGGAAGGUUAAUUGAUGGGGUUAUCCGUAAGGAGAAGCUCUUGAUCGAAGCCCCGGUAAACGGCGGCCGUAACUAUAACGGUCCUAAGGUAGCGAAAUUCCUUGUCGGGUAAGUUCCGACCUGCACGAAUGGCGUAAUGAUGGCCAGGCUGUCUCCACCCGAGACUCAGUGAAAUUGAACUCGCUGUGAAGAUGCAGUGUACCCGCGGCAAGACGGAAAGACCCCGUGAACCUUUACUAUAGCUUGACACUGAACAUUGAGCCUUGAUGUGUAGGAUAGGUGGGAGGCUUUGAAGCGUGGACGCCAGUCUGCGUGGAGCCAACCUUGAAAUACCACCCUUUAAUGUUUGAUGUUCUAACGUUGGCCCCUGACCGGGGUUGCGGACAGUGUCUGGUGGGUAGUUUGACUGGGGCGGUCUCCUCCCAAAGCGUAACGGAGGAGCACGAAGGUUAGCUAAUCCUGGUCGGACAUCAGGAGGUUAGUGCAAUGGCAUAAGCUAGCUUGACUGCGAGCGUGACGGCGCGAGCAGGUGCGAAAGCAGGUCAUAGUGAUCCGGUGGUUCUGAAUGGAAGGGCCAUCGCUCAACGGAUAAAAGGUACUCCGGGGAUAACAGGCUGAUACCGCCCAAGAGUUCAUAUCGACGGCGGUGUUUGGCACCUCGAUGUCGGCUCAUCACAUCCUGGGGCUGAAGUAGGUCCCAAGGGUAUGGCUGUUCGCCAUUUAAAGUGGUACGCGAGCUGGGUUUAGAACGUCGUGAGACAGUUCGGUCCCUAUCUGCCGUGGGCGCUGGAGAAUUGAGGGGGGCUGCUCCUAGUACGAGAGGACCGGAGUGGACGCAUCACUGGUGUUCGGGUUGUCAUGCCAAUGGCACUGCCCGGUAGCUAAAUGCGGAAGAGAUAAGUGCUGAAAGCAUCUAAGCACGAAACUUGCCCCGAGAUGAGUUCUCCCUGAGACUUUAAGUCUCCUGAAGGAACGUUAAAGACGAUGACGUUGAUAGGCCGGGUGUGUAAGCGCAGCGAUGCGUUGAGCUAACCGGUACUAAUGAACCGUGAGGCUUAACCUU
rnacentral:rRNA from 1 species